rnacentral:lncRNA from 1 species
UUUCUUAAGCGAAAGAAUGGAAAACAUUUGAUUUUUUCCAGGACUGGGUAUGCGGUUCCUCUUUUUUCUCAGCACCUUUGAAUGAAAAUCUAUCUCAUUUAAAUGCAUUAAAUGAUUACGAGCGUUGGUGGAUUAGGUGAAGUUCAAUCACGUCUCAUCGAUGACGGAUGACCGAGAUCUCAUCGAUUUGAAAGUGCAAAAUCUCAAAUGUUGGACAACUGCAAACUUUUAAUGAAAUUUUCCUCAACCACCCCACAAGUUGUGGUUUCAAAUCAAAAUGAGGACACUCACAGAAGACAAAGGCCGUUUAAACAACAAGAUUUCAAUACUGUGUACCAGUAUUCAAAACUCAACAAAACAGGUGCCCACAUUAAUCAUUCAGUCUUGGAAGGAAAACAAGAAUGUUAUCCUUUUUUGAUUCUGAAAAAAUUUGACUUCAGUAAAGGUGAAGAUGAAAUAAAAAAUUUAUAACAGCUCUGAGGCAACAUUAUGUUUUUAUGAAGCCUUGUAGAAGGACACAAACUUAUCUCCAAAGCCUUAAAGAAGUAAUUGUGCCUAUCGACGGUGAAACUACCAGUUGACACAUCUUGUUUGUGGUGCUCCCAUUGUAUUUUUGAAGGAGAGCAGAUCGAUAUUAUUCCUUGAAGUUUGUCACAGAGUUUCCUCUGUACAGGAAGAAAAAUCACGGAAGUUUUCCAGAAUGACAUUGAGUAGUUUUCCAUCUGAAAAAAAAAGUAUGACAGGAAGUCGUCCAGUAGUUUCAUCGUUGCCAUGCAGAUACUCAUCAUGUGAUUGAGUUGUGUGCAUUUGAAGCUUGUAAUUUUGCUUUAAGGUCAUUUCUAACUUUACAUGUUAGGAUUGUAAGAAUUCCUACAAAAAUGUAAAUAUAUGGCUGCAAGAGCACCAAAUUUUGAUGGUGCAAAGGUUAGGUAAAUUAAAAAGAAGUCUCUUUUUAAACAUUUUUCUCAGAAAUUUUUUACAUGGAAGACAUGUAGGAUAAAAUGCUCACAUUGCAAAUUCCUUUGGCAAGAGCUCCAGAAAUAUGUCCCUUAUAUUUGAAAGCACCGAAAACUAAACUAGUAACUCUAUUAUUCCAUCAUCACACCAUGUGAUAUGCUUAUGCAGUCAAGACAGGUGCAUUUUUCUGACCAAUAUUUAACAGCUGUAUCUAUAUUUUUAGCAACUCUUUUGAAAGAAAAAUGUAUUCAAAACUAGUUUCUUAUUUAGUCAAUGUAGCAUCAAAAGUCAGUCAUUGGUUGGUAACUAUUAUGUAACUUACACAAUGGCAACUUCAUGCUUAGAUCUUUUUGGAAAUUAGCUCUUAUUUUUCGAAUCUAGAUUUUUUGUCAUUAUAAAAA